rnacentral:misc_RNA from 1 species
CAAGUGCGAAAUGUAGUGCAAUCUGCAUGAAUCUGCGAGUCAUUUAAUCUUUGAACGCAACUUGCGCCCACUCGUGGGCAUGUCUGUUUGAGUACCGAAUAAAUGUAUAUUUGAUGAAUUGAGGUAUAUCUAUGAUUGCCUUUAAAAGAAUGGAAUUGAUUGAUCGAUCGAGAUUAUGAGCCAAAGGCCCACGUGGUCUGAUCAUAAGAUUGAUUGAUGGCGAUCAUCGAUGGCGUAAUAACCACCAACAUGAAACCAUGGUCUCAAAUCAGGCAAGAUUACCCGCUGAACUUAA